rnacentral:rRNA from 1 species
UUCUGGUGGCCUUGGCGGAGGGGACACACCCGACCCCAUUCCGAACUCGGAAGUUAAGCCCUCCAGCGCCGAUGAUACUGCGGUAUAAACCGUGGGAAAGUAGGACGCCGCCAGAACU